rnacentral:rRNA from 1 species
AUUGAACGCUGGCGGCAGGCUUAACACAUGCAAGUCGAACGAGUGGCGGACGGGUGAGUAAUGCCUGGGAAACUACCUGAUGGAGGGGGAUAACUACUGGAAACGGUAGCUAAUACCGCUUACCAUAGGAUGAGCCCAAAUGGGAUUAGCUCGUAGGUGGGGUAAAGGCUCACCUAGGCGACGAUCCCUAGCUGGUCUGAGAGGAUGACCAGCCACACUGGGACUGAGACACGGUCCAGACUCCUACGGGAGGCAGCAGUGGGGAAUAUUGCACAAUGGGCGCAAGCCUGACGCAGCCAUGCCGCGUGUAUGAAGAAGGCCUUCGGGUUGUAAAGUACUUUCGGCGGGGAGGCGUUACCCGCAGAAGAAGCACCGGCUAACUCCGUGCCAGCAGCCGCGGUAAUUC